rnacentral:rRNA from 1 species
UACGUAGGUGGCAAGCGUUGUCCGGAAUUAUUGGGCGUAAAGCGCGCGCAGGCGGCUAUGUAAGUCUGAUGUUAAAGCCCGAGGCUCAACCUCGGUUCGCAUUGGAAACUGUGUAGCUGAGUGCAGAAGAGGAAAGCGGUAUUCCACGUGUAGCGGUGAAAUGCGUAGAGAUGUGGAGGAACACCAGUGGCGAAGGCGGCUUUCUGGUCUGUAACUGACGCUGAGGAGCGAAAGCCAGGGGAGCAAACGGG